rnacentral:ncRNA from 2 species
AACAGAGUAGACAGAAGGCGUUAAGUGUUCGCAAAUGGGAAGUUGUUGCGAAACGAAGUCUAGCACGCGACCGACUGUUGCAUCCGCUGUU